rnacentral:misc_RNA from 1 species
GAUGAAGAACGCAGCGAAAUGCGAUAAGUAAUGUGAAUUGCAGAAUUCAGUGAAUCAUCGAAUCUUUGAACGCACCUUGCGCCCUUUGGCCAUUCCGAAGGGCAUGCCUGUUUGAGUAUCAUGAACACCUCAACUCUUCAUGGUUUUCCAUGAUGAGCUUGGACUUUGGGGGUCUUGCUGGCCUGUGGGUCGGCUCCUCUCAAAUGUAUCAGCUUGCCGGUUUUUGGUGGGCAUCACAGGUGUGAUAACUAUCUACGCUUGUGGUUUUCCACCAGGGUAACCUUCAGCAGUGGAGGUUCACUGGAGCUUACAAAUGUCUCUCCUCUGUGAGGACAGCCCUUUGAAUGUUUGAUCUCAAAUCAGGUAGGACUACCCGCUGAACUUAAGCAUAUCAAUAAGCGGAGGA